UUCGGUGGCGAUAGCGUCAAGGUCACACCCGUUCCCAUCCCGAACACGGAAGUUAAGCUUGACUGCGCCGAUGGUACUGCAUGGGCAGCUGUGUGGGAGAGUAGGACGCCGCCGGAU
rnacentral:rRNA from 1 species